CCUUUACUGUAGCUUUGCAUUGGACUUUGAACCGAUCUGUGUAGGAUAGGUGGGAGGCUAUGAAACCGGAACGCUAGUUUCGGUGGAGCCGUCCUUGAAAUACCACCCUGGUUUGUUUGAGGUUCUAACCUUGGCCCGUGAUCCGGGUCGGGGACAGUGCAUGGUAGGCAGUUUGACUGGGGCGGUCUCCUCCCAAAGCGUAACGGAGGAGUACGAAGGUACGCUAGGUACGGUCGGAAAUCGUGCUGAUAGUGCAAUGGCAUAAGCGUGCUUAACUGCGAGACCGACAAGUCGAGCAGGUGCGAAAGCAGGUCAUAGUGAUCCGGUGGUUCUGUAUGGAAGGGCCAUCGCUCAACGGAUAAAAGGUACUCUGGGGAUAACAGGCUGAUACCGCCCAAGAGUUCAUAUCGACGGCGGUGUUUGGCACCUCGAUGUCGGCUCAUCUCAUCCUGGGGCUGUAGCCGGUCCCAAGGGUAUGGCUGUUCGCCAUUUAAAGAGGUACGUGAGCUGGGUUUAAAACGUCGUGAGACAGUUUGGUCCCUAUCUGCCGUGGGCGUUGGAAGUUUGAAGGGGGCUGCUCCUAGUACGAGAGGACCGGAGUGGACGAACCUCUGGUGUACCGGUUGUGACGCCAGUCGCAUCGCCGGGUAGCUAUGUUCGGAAGAGAUAACCGCUGAAAGCAUCUAAGCGGGAAACUCGCCUUAAGAUGAGACUUCCCCGGGGACUUGAUCCCCUUGAAGGGUCGUUCGAGACCAGGACGUUGAUAGGUCGGGUGUGUAAGCGCAGUAAUGCGUUCAGCUAACCGAUACUAAUUGCCCGUACGGCUUGAUCCUAUAACA
rnacentral:rRNA from 1 species